rnacentral:rRNA from 1 species
UACGGGGGGCAAGCGUUGUUCGGAAUUACUGGGCGUAAAGGGCUCGUAGGUGGCCAACUAAGUCAGACGUGAAAUCCCUCAGCUUAAACUGGGAACUGCGUCUGAUACUGGAUGGCUUGAGUUGGGAGAGGGAUGCGGAAUUCCAGGUGUAGCGGUGAAAUGCGUAGAUAUCUGGAGGAACACCGGUGGCGAAGGCGGCAUCCUGGACCAACACUGACACUGAUGAGCGAAGCCAGGGAGCAAACGGG